AAGCUGUGAUAAAAUUGGCUUUAGCGUAGGUUGGGUCCUUCGCAUCCUUCUGAAUUCUCAGUUGAUAACGCCACACUCCCGAUCUC